GCUUACAAUACUCCCAAGAAAAAAAAACUUGCGAUACUGAGGACGGAGAAAGAGACAGAGACCGACAGAUCAAAAACUGAGACCCAAAACUCUCUCUCUCUCUCUCUCUCUCUUCUCAUGAACCCUAAUCUUUUUCUUCAAGAUGAAGAAGAGCCGUACAGUCUCUUCCAAUAUCCCCAGACUCUCUCUCUCUCGCUCUUUUCACGAACCCUAAUCUUUUUCUUCAAGAAUAUUCAAUCCCUUCAAUCCAAGCUACAGUACGGAUUCGGAGGAGUUCGUGUUGCUAUCUCGGGUUCGCAAUGAAGGCGCAAUCAGAGAUCUGCGGGUCCUUGGGUCGGACCCUAGCGACACUGCGAUAUAGAGAAAGUGAAGGAGAAGAAAAAAACCUUGCGCCAUCGUUUAAAAGCAAUAAAUGAUAAUGUUUCACACCGUCAAAACACUGUUUGGAGCCCUCUACAUAUAAAAGGAAAGGAAAGUAACUGCUUAAAAAAGAAAAGAAAAUAAAGACUGCUACACGGAGAAAGGAGAAAGAAAGACCGAGAGAAGAGAGAGACAGAGAACGGAGAAGGAGAGAGAGAUUGAGAGAUCAAAAACUGCACUCGCUACCCGACCAUCAGAAUCGCUACUGAUUUGGUUUUGAUUAAGGGAUACGAAGAUAGAGGAACCAAGCAGAGUUCGUAGCAAUACUGCGAUACAGAGAAAGGGAAGGAGAAAAAAAAGAAGUUUGCAGCACAGUGGAGAUUCGACUGAAACUGAAAGGUCAAGAAGGAUUGCCGAGAAACAAGGAAUUUUCUUUUGCUAAAACGUUGUUUGGUUGUCAUCCUAUGUGAAGUUGUUCUUUUCUUCUUCUUCUUAUUUCAAUUUCAUUCUCUGAAAGGGUUUUGUUUUUUUUUUUUUUAAUUAUUUUUUUAAAAUUUUAAAAAAUUUUUUUUUAUCGUUUGUAUAUUAAUUCCUUUUGAUUUUGGUAUCACUUUUUUUUUCUUCAAAUGUACAAUGUACUCUUUUGUUUUUCUAUUUGUCUCCAGGGGACAAGGAUGGGGCACCCCAGAACUCUAUCAAAGCUUGAGGCAAAGAGCAUUUGGGAUUAGAGGAUGACUUCAUCAGUUUGAGAUACUAAAACUUAUGUUUGAUGACCCACUUCAGGUGUUGGAUGGCAGUAUGUUAUGCACACAAGGGAGAAAACAACUUGGAUCUUGGGUACAAUCGCUUUCUUUUUGCAUCUACUUAACGAAUUAGAUAGAGCAGUUAUGAAAAUCACCAUUUCCUCUUAUUCCAUUGUCUAAUUUCUGUUUUGCAUUUAACUCUUGGUAUUUUUUUGAAUAAUCCUUAAUAGGUUGCUGCUGUGUCACUCUAAAGUCUAAAGUGUGAAACAAUGUAGGCACAAUUUGAUGACAUGACCACCAAGUGAUGCCUUGGGCCAUGCAAUAUCUAAUAUUAUCCUUUUUGUCAUUUGCUCUUUCCUCUAUAAUAGUGAAUUGAAAAAUUACAUGAGUUCUGCCUUUGUCUUCUUUGGCUCCCCCAUCUUCUCAGUUGGCAAAAGAUAAUGGUUCUGCAUUUAUUAGAAUAUCACAUCUACACUUUUAAAUUUAGUUUUCUAUGAAGCAUUGUUCACCUAGCAUUUGGAUGUCAUGCGUAUUUGUUAAUUUCCUCAAUGUCCUUGCAGUGAAGUAAUUAUUGCUCCUCUAAUAUAGGUGCUCCUAUAACUCUUUUUGGUCUAAAUUUCUAGACAAAUCUGCCAAUUAGGUAUGUCAAGACUUCAUUUGCAUGUUCUUCCUUUUUGGUCUAAAUUUUCAUAACUAUUACUUGAACCAUGUAUGAGAUAGAAAUGUUUUGCUCAAUUGUGGAGCUUGGGUGAUUUAGAUAUUGUCAAAAAGGAAAUUGAAAGGCUUGAGUUGUUUGUUAUGAAGCUAACAAACAAUCCAAAUACCAUCUAGAGUCACAAAACUAACAAACCAGAUAACACUGACCUUCAAACAUCUUUAUGUUCUUUUAGUAUCAACUUAAGAAUAAAAAAAUCUGAUGACAAGCCUACAAAAUUAAAUUAUGAGAAUAAGCAAAAAAAAAAAAAAAUCUGAUGACAAGCCUACGAAAUUAAAUUAUGAGAAUAAGCACAAAAAAAAAAAAAAAAAAAAAAAAACCUACAAUAGGCUAUUUAGGCAGCACCCUUCCCUACACCAGAAGGAGCUCAAUAAUAAACUUUUCAAUUGUACUCCACCUUAAUUUUGACAAUUUAACCUUCCAUUAUUGUAUUGAUAAUUGCAAUUGGGCUAGCCAAUUUUUGAUCAGUAAUAUAAUUCACGUGAAUUGUUGCAUCGUAGAUCUAGAAGGUAUCCCAAAUGCCUAAAAGUCACUUGGUAUGGGAUAAAGAGAAAGCUCAUGGUGUUCAGUAAAAAAGGAAACAUUAUUGGGUAUUUUUUGUUUAACUUAUUUGGCUUAUGACAUUAUCUAUUACUAUUUUAUGUGGUUUAUUACAUUGUCAAGAACUAUUUUAUGUGUUUUAUGAUAUCUGAAUAUUGAAAAGGUAAUUUGUAUAAUCAGUAUAUUUAGAUCAGUUAUUAGAAUUUAUAACUUUUGUUAAUGGAUUUUUCACAUGACCUACGAGCAAGGUUUCAGUAAGUUCGCUAAUGACUUUGUGUAAUAUUUGAUAGUGUGCAUCCUCUAUUACUGGGUUUGGUGUACUAAACUUUGGCUGAAACAAAAAGACUCAGGUUAUGCAACACAACAGAGGUUCACUAUUAUAUGCUUGAAAAGAAUUGAUGAUUAUUGAAUUUGUUUCCCAUAAAAAAACUUUGGAAAGGCUUUUCUGUUUGGUAUAUGAGCAAUUAUCUGGGGGCUGCCAGAUUUGUUGGAUAUCAGUAAUGAUUGAGUGGAAGUGCUAUCUUUGGGGAUGUGUAAAGCCUUGGAAUUUGCCAAGCAUUUGUCAAUAUGAUACCUAGAGGUGCAUUGCAUUCUUUUGAGGUGACACAGCAUACUCAACUCAUGUACUUGGUGGCUUAUUAGAAAUAGUCCCCCAGAGAUUAAGAACAAAUGUCCCAUCAAAUUAUCAUUUACAACAAACCCUUGAUGAAUAUCCUCCUCAAUGUACUGACACGACUUUAAAGAUUAGUCUCAAAUGUUUAGACAAUAAUGUUAUACCAAUGCAUUGGAUAUGUUUGCACUAUUUUCUAAAUGAUUUUCACUGUAAUAAAUUGUUAUUGUUUGUUUCCCCUUAUUUCUAAGUUAUGAUGUCUGUUAGUUGAUGACAAGUACACCAAGUUUAGAUUUUUGUGUGUGGUCUAUUGGAGAAUGAAAGUACAUACGUGAUGUGAUUUGAAGAGGGUAAUGUUUAAAAUUUUUAGCGGAUAUUGGAUAUUAUAUGCUUAAAUAUACUAAAUUAUGAGAACUAAGUUUAUGUUGGAUACAAAGAUCAUUAA